rnacentral:rRNA from 1 species
CCUGGCUCAGGACGAACGCUGGCGGCGUGCUUAACACAUGCAAGUCGAACGGAGCGCCUAUGAAGGAGAUUUCGGUCAACGGAAUAGGCUGCUUAGUGGCGGACGGGUGAGUAACGCGUGAGGAACCUGCCUUUCAGAGGGGGACAACAGUUGGAAACGACUGCUAAUACCGCAUAACACAUAGGUGUCGCAUGGCAUUUAUGUCAAAGAUUUAUCGCUGAAAGAUGGCCUCGCGUCUGAUUAGCUAGUUGGUGAGGUAACGGCUCACCAAGGCGACGAUCAGUAGCCGGACUGAGAGGUUGGCCGGCCACAUUGGGACUGAGAUACGGCCCAGACUCCUACGGGAGGCAGCAGUGGGGAAUAUUGGGCAAUGGGCGCAAGCCUGACCCAGCAACGCCGCGUGAAGGAAGAAGGCUUUCGGGUUGUAAACUUCUUUUGACAGGGAAGAGUAGAAGACGGUACCUGUCGAAUAAGCCACGGCUAACUACGUGCCAGCAGCCGCGGUAAUACGUAGGUGGCAAGCGUUGUCCGGAUUUACUGGGUGUAAAGGGCGUGUAGCCGGGUUGACAAGUCAGAUGUGAAAUCCUGCGGCUUAACCGCAGAACUGCAUUUGAAACUGUUGAUCUUGAGUACUGGAGAGGCAGACGGAAUUCUAGUGUAGCGGUGAAAUGCGUAGAUAUUAGGAGGAACACCAGUGGCGAAGGCGGUCUGCUGACAGCACUGACGGUGAGGCGCGAAAGCGUGGGGAGCAAACAGGAUUAGAUACCCUGGUAGUCCACGCUGUAAACGAUGGAUACUAGGUGUGCGGGGACUGACCCCCUGCGUGCCGCAGCUAACGCAAUAAGUAUCCCACCUGGGGAGUACGAUCGCAAGGUUGAAACUCAAAGGAAUUGACGGGGGCCCGCACAAGCGGUGGAUUAUGUGGUUUAAUUCGAUGCAACGCGAAGAACCUUACCAGGGCUUGACAUCCUACUAACGAAGUAGAGAUACAUUAGGUACCCUUCGGGGGAAGUAGAGACAGGUGGUGCAUGGUUGUCGUCAGCUCGUGUCGUGAGAUGUUGGGUUAAGUCCCGCAACGAGCGCAACCCUUAUUGUUAGUUGCUACGCAAGAGCACUCUAGCGAGACUGCCGUUGACAAAACGGAGGAAGGUGGGGACGACGUCAAAUCAUCAUGCCCCUUAUGUCCUGGGCUACACACGUAAUACAAUGGCGGCCAACAGAGGGAUGCAAAGCUGUGAAGUGGAGCGAACCCCUAAAAGCCGUCCCAGUUCAGAUUGCAGUCUGCAACUCGACUGCAUGAAGUCGGAAUCGC